AUGUUUUUUUUUCCUGCACUUUCCCAAGUAGCAUUUCCCAUUUUCUGCUCAGUUUUGGUGAGCACGAACACCACGAGCUGUGUCCUCUCUCAGACCUCCGAGCCCAACCUGGGGGCAGCGGCAUUGCCCAUCGCCCAGCCCCAGCAGCAGCACCCAAGGGUGCUCUUUUGGGUCUCUCCGUUCCUCCAUGCUCACCAAAAAAGCUCCCAUGGGCAAACAGCCCGGCCCAUUGCACUGCAAGAUGUGGAGGUGAAUGAUGAGGUACAACAGGAAUCACUUCGUGGAGGCAGCCGUUGGGUUUUCUCUUGUCUUUUUGACACCUGUUUAAUAGGAUCCAAGGCAAAAAGUCAAAUUUUGGAUAAAACAUCAUUGAGUCGCCUGAGGAGGGGCUGCCAGGAGCGUGAGCUGGUACCGACAGCUGCCAAGAGCAUGUGCAGCCUUUCCCACCCUGGACCCACGCCUCCUUGGGCUAAUCUCUCACUUUUUUCAGUUAUUUCCUUUUUCUGUAGCGGGGAUUUGGCAGAAUUUGAGCAGCCCUGGCUGGCGGGGCCGUUUUGGUGGGAGCUUUGCGGGGUUUGCUGCUGGGGUUUUGUCCACAUCACAGGGGGUUUUGAAAGUGGUACCAAGCAACCUGUAAUAAAAAACGGAUAUUGCACGUUUGAAGCGAAAAUCAGAACCCUUUCCGUGAUGACUGAAGCAGCAAAAUCCCGCUCGUUCCAUCUUAAACCAUCACUGAGGCUCUUAGGAAAGAAUGCAAAAAAAAAAAAACAAAAAAACCCUGCUUUGAACAAAAAUGGCGAGGAUUUGCUGCUAAAUAAAAGUAAUCCUUGCAGGCCUCCUGCAGUGUCUUUUGUCUCGUUGUCUCCAUUUGGAAGCGCUCGGAGAAACACCCCUAAUCCCCCCAAAAGCAGACGUCCCUGCCUUUGGGGUUGGUACGGGACUGGUGGCCUUGGGGACAUGGAGCACUGGUGGCACAUCUGUACCCUGGCCUCGUGGCAAAAAUCCCGUCCCAGGCAGAACAGCAUCACCCACGGGCGGUCCUGGUGA
rnacentral:lncRNA from 1 species